GAAGGAUCAUAGUAAUCGUCUUUGACGUUCUAUUUCCAUCGUCCUCGGGACGUUAAGGUGCUCUGGUCGAGGAUAAACGACCCCUCUGACCGAGGUUAAACGGUCGCUUUGCCUGUGUUACCUCCUUGGAGGCACACGUUAAAGAUUGUUCCGCGUUGUGAGUCUAACACCAGUUGUAAACUUUCUACAACCGGCAGCGCUGGAUCCCUUGGCACGUCAUUCGAUGAAGACCGUUGCAAAUUGCGAUAAAGUGAUGUGAUGCGCAAGUCCACCACUUAUACGUGAAUCAUCGAGUUGUUGAACGCAUUGCACCGCGCCCUAAUCCGGCUGCGGUAUGCCCCUUUGAGCGUCAUUGUAUUCCUUCGGGAGUCUUUCCUUGCUGAAAGACCCGAGCUCGGAGUCCUCGGUCCUUUGGAUCGUGUUCUCUCAGAUGCGUCGCGCCGAUCGCCUGAUGGGUACUCUAAUGCCUGAGCGUGGAGUCCCUUUGAGCUUGAGACGCGCUUGACCGGCCGUUGGGCUUGCGUCACCAAGUCCGCGUCCUUCUGGACGUCGGUACUACAACGCAUGACCUCAUUGGGGUAGGACAACCCCGCUAGACUUAAGCAUAUUAAUCAGCGGAGGAAAAGAAACUAACCAGGAUUCCCCUAUAACUGC
rnacentral:rRNA from 1 species